ensembl:lncRNA
CCACCAUCCAUGUUCCCUCAAAGUGGAAGAGCCGCUGGAAGGCAGUAUGACAGAAGCCUGAUUAGGAGUCAGAGCUGUCCUACCAGCAGAAAUCCCGAACCUGCCAAGAAACCAUGCCCUCUGACAGCAUGGAGCUGUCUCCCCACUCCAGGACUCCCACAUGUCCUUCCCCCUGUCCCCCAGGACAGCUCUUCAGAGAGUUCUGUCCUCUGGACCGAGCCGAGGAAACAGGCAUCAGGGACCAGACCAGUGCUGGGAAAGCGGGACGCAGCUGGCUCCCAGGAUUCAUGGGAAUGUUGGAUCUUUCACCUCUGCCGUCUUCUCUCCCUCCUUCUUCAAGCACUGAGGUGAGGAGGGUGUGCAGAACAGCCCAUGAUCUCCUCCAGCCAGGCAGAGCCCAGGGCUUCAAGCCAGCAGGUGCAUAGACCCUGUGGACUCAGGUGUGGGAGAGGAAACCAUCCACAGGUGCCUGCAUUCCUGAGAGCAGCGUCACCUCCAGGUUGGGUGGGGUGGCUGCCCUGCUUGUCUGGGCUGAGUCAGCCUCGGGAGCGCCCUACAGCAUCCUGCCCCACCAGGCGGACUCAGUUGUGAAGACCCAGAGGUUUGGGUGAGCUCUGAGAUGGACCAAGGUCUGCCCCAUGCUUUCUGAUGAAGCUCUUUAAGGUUUCCAGUGACAUUACCAUGAAGAGCCAGUGACAUCUCAGGGAAACCUGUGUGAGAGUCUGGGAUCUGCACAUGCCUCAGAGGAAGUCGGGCCCCCAGGGCCUCCGUGAGCCGGCAGACCCUCCUGCGUUCAGCGUGUGGGAGCAGCUGGGCCGCUGUGUGCACAGUGGGACCCCCGAUGGCUCUGAGCUCCGGGGUGUGGGUCGACGCUGCUCGUCUUUCCCUGGGAGUGGCUUCUGAGGUCCUCAUGCUGGGGUGCUGCGUCUCCAAACACUUGGUCCAAGAAGAGACACUGUCCACACUGCCCCAGGGCUGGGGCCUUGCUUAUCCCUGCACCCAGAUAACACCGCGGUCACAGGGACCCAAAGGCCAUG